rnacentral:tRNA from 1 species
UGCGGGGUAGAGCAGUGGUAGCUUAUCAGGCUCAUAACCUGAAGGUCAGUGGUUCGAUUCCACUCCCCGCUACCA